rnacentral:tRNA from 1 species
GCCUUCGUGGUGCAUUGGUCAGGACGCUGGAAGUGUGUUCCAGAGGUCCGUGGUUCGAAUCCCAGCGAGGGCA